AUACAGGGCUAAUGUCUUGUAAUUGGAAUGAUGGUGACCCACACCCUCACCAGAGUAGCAAUUGGAGGGCAAGUCUGGUGCCGCAGCCGCGGUAAUUCCAGCUCCAAUAGCGUAUAUUAAACUUGUUGCAGUUAAAAAGCUCGUAGUUGAAUUUUAGCUGUUCGAGUUUGCCAUUCGUUUGGCUUUUUCGAGUUCGCUUUUGGGUUUUCCCUUUUUACUUUGAGAAAAUUAGAUGUUUCAAGCAGACUUUUGUCUUGAAUACUUCAGCAUGGAAUAAUAGAGUAGGACUUUGGUUCUAUUUUGUUGUUAUUGAACCUUAGUAAUGGUUAAUAGGAACGGUUGGGGGCAUUCGAAAUUUAAAA
rnacentral:rRNA from 1 species